GUCGUUACCAACAGGCCAAUCAAUUCAGAGACCAAUCAAGCUUUUCAAACAGCUGCUUUUGUGGUUGUCAUGGAAAUGAGAAGUGACAGGAGAGUACUUGGCUGUCUUGAUAGAAAACUGACAUUUUGAUGUCCAGAAAUCAAUCUCUGGUGGGGGAUCGUGUCAGAUGCCUUGCUGAAGUCGAGUAUGAUCAAGUCUGCUUGGCUUCUGUUGUCAAGGAUCCUUGCUAAGUUGUUGAUCAGCCCUGCAAGUUGUGUGUCACAGGAUCUGCCCCGUUGGAAUCCAUGUUGGUGGGCAAAGCAGAAGCCAUGGUUGACAGCAGAGUUUUGUGCAUUGCUAUGGGAUUGGGAUGCUGCCUUCAAAUUGCGGCAAAGGAAAACUCUGAGGUCUGCAAGAGCCAUGCACUCCCGUACCAUCAGGAAGGCAAGGCAUGAGUAUGCACAGACAAUCUGAUGCACCAUCAAUAACUCUCGGAGACCAGAAGUGAACGAUAGGCUUUUAUGAGCAACAAAAAGGGAGCACAACAUCUCGGAGACUGAGGGAGGAGCAGUGCCCCAAUCGCCUUUAUACAGAUGUCUGUGGGAGGAGCCACAGAAGCAGUCAGCAGAAGGGCAUGUCCAGACAGGUAUACAUAGUUUACCACACAAUCACAGGCACCUUUGUGACACCAGAGACACACUGCACAUUUGGCAAGGUAUACAAACAAUAACCAAUUACAAGUCCUCCAAGCACGUCAACGAUGAUAGGGGGAAUGAUUUCUAUGCACAAUUUGAACAACUGAGUGAUGUGACAUUGAGGAAAGCCCCCUUUCAUCCUGCCGAACAGGCACCCUGUCCAGCCACAGCCAAGGUGAGGAGGACCCUAUCCAGGAUAAACCCAUGCAAAACUGUACAGCCAGACAGCAUAUCUGGUCAGACACUGAGAGACUGUGUGGCCUAGGUAACUGAGGUCUUAACGGACAUCUUUAACAUCUCUAUGAAACAGUCCACUAUCCAUGAAGGCUUCAAGGCAGCCACCAACAAUCUGGUGCCCAAGAGAGCAACAGUAACUGAUAACUGCCCAGUGGCACUGAUUUCAACAUUCAUAAUGUGUUUUGAGGAGCUGGCAAUGGAUUGUAUAAAAUCUCACCUUCCAGCUACAUAGGACCCUCUCCAGUUCACUUACUGCUCUAACCAGUUCACUGAUGAUACCAUAGGCUUAGCUCUCCACUCUGUUCUGCCCUGUCUAGAAAAUGAUGACUUGUACACCUGCAUGCUUAUCAACUUCAGUUCAAAGUUUAACACACUCAUCCCUCAGAGGCUGGUGGAUAAACUGUCCGCCUUGGGACUUAACUGCCCUCUCCAUAACUGGACGUGGACUUCUUGGUGGGGAGACCCCAGCCAGUCUGAGUUGUCAGCAACACCUCAAGCUCCAUCACGCUGAGCACUGGGGCCCCACAGGGUUGUGAGCUCAGUUCACUGCUGUUCUUGCUCCUGGCUCAUGACUGCACAGCCAAGUUCAGCUCAAACCACAUCAUCAAGUUCACUGAUGAUACUACAGUGUUUGGCUUCAUCAGUAACAAUGAUGAAUUAGCAUACAGAGAGGAGGCAGAGAAGCUUGUCAAUGGUGUGAGAACAACAACCUGAGUCUCAAUGUGGACAAGACAAAAGAUGAUUGUGGACAUAAGGAAGGCACAGAUCAACCACUCUAUAUCUCAUGGAGAGAGUGAAGAGCAUGAAGUUGCUUUGUGUGCAGAUAACGGGCAAUCUAACCUGGGCCUACAACACCUUCUCAUUAAACAAGAAGGCACAGUAGUGUCUACACUUUCUGAGGAGACUGAGAUGGACAAGGCUCCCUGCCCCCUUGCUAACAACUUUCUACAGGAGCACUAUCGAGAGUGUCCUGUCUGACUGCAUCAUUGUGUAGUAUGGAAGCUGCAAGAUAUCAGAAUGCAAGACCCUACAGAGGACAGUAAAAACCACCGGGAGGAUCACUGGGGUCUCCCUCCCCACUAUUUGUGGCAUUUACUGGGAGUGUUGUAGGCAAAGGGCCCAAAGUAUUUUUGAGGAUCCCAUCCCACAAUCUCUUUGACCCAUUACCAUCAGGAAGGAGGUAUAGAAGCAUCAGGACUAGGACUGUCAGACUGGGUAACAGCUUCUUCCCUCAGGCUGUGAGACUAAUGAAUACCCUGACACCCCUGAGGUCUCGUCACCAGGACAGAGAGUUGUUUGCUGUUUACCUGUACUGCACUUUACUACGUGCAUUUUGAAUUAUAUUUCAUGGACGUAUUCAUUUUAUAAUAUUUUGCUUAUGGGCAGUGUGUGAUGUAUGUCGUGUGGGUGCACUGUGGUCCGGAGGAAUGUUGUUUUAUUCAGCUGUGUAACCCUCAGGUUCAGCGGUGGCAUUAAUCCAGGGGAAGACAGCCACCGGCCCAGCCAAACUUGGUAGGUCUUGUUUGGGUGGAUGGUGCGUGAUGUGUCCCCCUGUUACAAAUCAGUACCCCGAAAUAACAAACAGUACACAAUAUGCAAUUAAAUGAUUGAGCUUUAUAAGUCUUAAUUUGACUAUAGGGUUAGAAAAGAAAACAAAAAGAAAAAGGGCCCAUUUUAAUGCACACAUUGGAACUCAUGUUUUCCCGUCUGUUCGUUUUCCAUCAAUUUACCCCAGGUGUCGUUGACUCCCGACCCCAUUCCAAGUCCACUCCGUCCUGCAGUCUACAACUUCCCCAUUCUGGCAUCCUCUCCCUCCAUCUUCUGCUGAAGAGAAGACUGAAUCCAUCGCUCUCGGGCACACAAGGAAGAAAAGCACCCCCCUCAUAUGAAGCCGCAAAUUCCAAAGCCCAUUACAGCAAAACCAUUUAGUAUAAGGUUACCACUCAAGGAGUGGCCAGAGAAUAGACAAGAAUGGUAAAGAAGGAAACAAACUACACAAACCAAAGAAAAAGGGCUAGAAUUUAAAGACACAUGAAACAUACCUUUGAAAGGAACAGGGUAGGAUAGUACUGGAAACUGGCAGUCAAAAAGAACAAACAGAAGAAAAUAUUAUAAGGUAUUUAGAUUAGAUAACAACAUUCAGAAGGAUGACAACCUGUAGUCAGCAGAAAACAAUGACCUGUGUCAUAGCCAGAGGACCAAAUUCCACUGUUCUGGGAAACAGUCUUAUUACCUUUGCAGAUUAGCGCUUGUUUGCAUGUCUUGGGCCUAUUACCAGAACAUCUGUACCCAUUGUGCUUUGUUAAAGUUGCAAGAGUACAUACAUAGAGUACUCAUAACAGUACAAAUAACUCAAUGAUGGAGCCCAGCAUAUGAGUGCUGAAGGGAAGGUAGUCAUUGUAACGUAGCCAUUUGUGUGACACUUUUACAACUCGGGGUGUUGGAGUUUGGCGUUCAAUUCAAACGUCAUCUGUAAGGAGUUUGUACAUCCUCCCCACGAACAUGUGGGUUUCUUCUGGGUGCUUCCAUUUCCUCCCACAGUCCAAAGAUGUACCAGUUGGUAGGCUAAUUGGUCAUGGAAAAUUUUCCAGCUUAGGCUAGGCUUAAAUCGAUGGAUUGCUGGGCAGCGUGGCUUGAAGGACAGGAAUGGCCUAUUCCACACUGUAUCCCUAAAUUAAAAAAACAGAAGCAUUCACAGAUACGUUCAUCUUAGUUGAUCUAAUUUGGUUUCUUCCUGAGGUGCCUACCAUUUGAGCAACCAGUCUUCAACAAAUUCAAUUCACUCAUGUUAAAUUAAGAAAAGGCCAAAAGCACUGGAUACAACAAGGGUGUUACAAUCAGAGUAAUCUCCCAACUGAAAUACCACAGGUCAGUGCUCCAGAAAUAGCUUUAUCUCUAGCCAGCUUGUGCUAAUACAGACAUAACAAUGAUAUCAACCAGCUGUUGUGGAAAAUUGCUGAGGAAUUUCCUGCUAAAUAAAAAGUGAGAAAAAUUAAAUCCAGCUAAAUACUGCCCAAUCUGUCUAAUCUCAAUCAUCAUUAAUGUGAUGGAAGCUAUUGCCAACUGUGCAAUCAACUGACACCAGCUUACCAAAAUCCCACACAGAAAGGGUCAGUUUGGGUUUCACCAGGAGCACACCACUCCAGACCUCAUCACAGCCCUGAUCCAAAGACCAAUUUGGCUGAAUUUCAAAGAAGACUGGGCAAUGGAUUUCAGAAAAUACAGCAUUUGACUAGGUAUGGCACAAAGUUACCUGAGUGACGUUCAAACCAGAGGACUUUAAUCUGUGCCAUUAUUCCUUGCUGAUUGGAAGAUGGUUUUCAUUGUCAGAGGUCAUUUACCCAAGAUGGGUGGAAAAAGGCCAUAUGGGUGGAGCUGAGAAACAGGGUUGUAUUAUAGACCAGCCAAUAGUCAGUGAGAAUUGGAGGAGCAUAUCUGCAGAGAGCUAGCAGACAUCUGCAGGAAACAUAAAGUUGUGAUAGUAUGGGAUUUUAAUUUUCCACAUAUUGAUUGGGACUUCCCUACUGUUAAAGGUCUAGACGGGUUAGAGUUUGUAAAAUGUGUUCAGGAAAGUUUUCUAAAUCAAUAUAUAGAGGUACCAACUAAAGAGGAUGCAAUAUUAGAUCUCCUAUUAGGAAACGAGUUAGGACAGGUGACGGAAGUGUGUGUAGGGGAACAUUUUGGUUCCAGUGAUCAUAACGUCAUUAGUUUCAACUUGAUCAUGGAUAAAGUUUCUUACACUUUGGUUUUUGUCCAUCCUGCUGGGUAGGGUCUUUCAUUAAUUCUAUUAUAUGUUAAAACUUGAAACUUAAUCAUGGAUAAAGAUAGAUCUGGUCCUCGUGUUGAGGUACUAAACUGGAAAAAGGCUAAAUUUGAAGAAAUGAGAAAGGAUUUAAAAAGCGUGGAUUGGGACAGGUUGUUCUCUGGGAAGGAUGUGAUUGGUAAGUGGGAGGCCUUCAAAGGAGAAAUUUUGAGAGUGCAGAGUUUGUAUGUUUCUGUCAGGAUUAAAGGCAAAGUGAAUAAGGAUAAGGAAUCUUGGUUCUCGAGGGAUAUUGGAAAUCUGAUAGAAGAGAGAGAUGUAUGACAGGUAUAGGAAAGAGGGAGAAAAUAAGGUACUUGAGGAGUAUAAAAAGUGCAAGAAAAUACUUAAGAAAGAAAUCAGGAGGGCUAAAAGCAGACUUGAGGUUGCUUUGGCAGUCAAGGGCAAGGAUAAUUCUAAGAGAUUCUACAGGUAUAUUAAGAGCAAGAGGGUAGUAAGGGAUAAAAUUGGUCCUCUUGAAGAUCAGAGUGGUCGGCUAUGUAUGGAACCAAAAGGAAUGGGAGAGAUAUUAAAUGGAUUUUUUGCAUCUGUAUUUACUAAGGAAACUGGCGAGGAGUCUAUGGAUAUAAAGCAAACAAGUAGUGAGGUCAUGGAACCUAUACAGAUUAAAGAAGAGGAGGUGCUUGCUGCCUGGAGGCAAAUCAGAGUAAAUAAAUCCCCAGGACCUGACAGAGUAAUCCCUCGGACCUUGAAUGAGACGAGUGUUGAAAUAGCAGGGGCCCUGGCAGAUAUAUUUAAAAUGUCGGUAUCCAUGGGUGAGGUGCCGGAGGAUUGGAGGAUAGCUCAUGUUGUUCUGUUGUUUAAAAAAGGCUCUAAAAGUAAUCUAAGAAAUUAUAGGCCAGUAAGUUUGACAUCAGUACUAGGUAAAUUAUUGGAAGGAGUACUAAGAGAUAGGAUCUACAAGUAUUUAGAUAGACAGGGACUUAUUAGGGAGAGUCAACAUAGCUUUGUGCGUGGUAGGUCAUGUUUAACAAAUCUAUUAGAGUUUUUUGAGGAAGUUACCAGGAAAAUGGAUGAAGGGAAAGGCAGUGGAUAUUAUAUACAUGGACUUCAGUAAGGCCUUUGACAAGGUCCCGCAUGGGAGAUUAGUUGGGAAGAUUCAGUCACUGGGUAUACAUGGAGAGGUAGUAAAUUGGAUUAGACAUUGGCUCAGUGGGAGAAGUCAGAGAGUGGUAGUGGGGGAUUGCUUCUCUGAAUGGAGGCCUGUGACUAAUGGUGUGCCACAGGGAUCAGUGCUGGGUCCAUUAUUAUUUGUCAUCUAUAUCAAUGAUCUGGAUGAUAAUGUGGUAAAUUGGAUCAGCAAAUUUGCUGAUGAUCCAAAGAUUGGUGGUGUAGUGGACAGUGAGGAAGGUUUUCAAAGCUUGCAGAGGGAUCUGGACCAGCUGGAAAAAUGAGCUGACAAAUGGCAGAUGAAGUUUAAUGCGGACAAGUGUGAGGUAUUGCCCUUCGGAAGGACAAACCAAGGUAAAACAUACAAGGUAAAUUGUAGGACACUGAGGAGUGUAGUAGGACAGAGGGAUCUGGGAAUACAGAUACAUAAUUCCCAAAAAGUGGCAUCACAGGUGGAUAGGGUCGUAAAGAGAGCUUUUGCUACAUUGGCCUUUAUAAAUCAAAGUAUUGAGUAUGAGAGUUGGAAUGUUAUGGUAAGGUUGUAUAACACAUUGGUGAGACCGAAUUUGGAGUAUUGUGUGCAGUUUUGGUCACUUAAUUACAUGAAGGAUAUUAAUAAGGUUGAAAGAGUGCAGAGACGGUUUACAAGGACGUUGCCAGGACUUGAGAAACUGAGUUACAGAGAAAGGUUGAAUAGGCGAGGACUUUAUUCCCUGGAGCAUAGAAGAAUGAGGGGAGACUUGAUUGAGGUGUAUAAAAUUAUGAUGGGUAUAGAUAGAGUGAAUGCAAGCAGGCUUUUUCCACUGAGGCUAGGGGAGAAAAAAAAAGAGGACAUGGGUUAAGGUUGAAAAGGGAAAAGUUUAAAGGGGACAUGGGGGGGGUGGUGCUUCUUCACAUAGAGCGUAGUGAGAGUGUGGAAUAAGCUGCCAGUUGAAGUGGUGAAUGCAGGCUCAUUUUUAACAUUUAAGAAAAACUUGGACAGGUACAUGGGUGAAAGAUGUAUGGAGGGAUAUGGUCUAGGUGCAGGUCAAUGGGACUAGGCAGAAAAAUGGUUCAGCACAGCCAAGUGCUGUAAUGUUCUAUGGUUCUAUCUAGGGCAUCCCUGCAGGAGUUCCUCAUGACAGUGUUCAGGGGGUAACCAUCUUCAGUUGCUUUAUCAAUAACCUUCCUUUCAACAUAGGGGUAGGCGUACUGACAUUUACUUAUAAUUUUACUAUGUUUAAUUCUAUUUACACCUCCUCAGAAAAUGAAACACCCCCUUGGCUACCAGCAGCAGGAUUUCGACAACAGUUAGGCAUGGGCCGUGCUCUUUUCUUGCUGCUGCCAUCAGGCAGAAGGUACAAGAGCCUCAGAAUACACACCACCAGGUUCAAGACCGGUUACUACCCAUCAGCCAGCAGGCUCUUGAGCAAAAGGAGAAAACUAACUACACUCUCUUGACCAUCCACUGAAAUGUUCCCACAACCAAUGAUCUCACUUUAAGGACUCUUUAUCUUGUUAUUUCACGUUUUCAUUAUUUAUUACUAUUUAUUUAUAUUUGCAUUUGCAGAACACAAUUUGUUGUCUUCUACACUCUGGUUAAUCUUUCAUCGAUCCUGUUACAGUUACUAUUCAAUAGAUCUGCUGAAUAUGUCCACAGGAAAAUGAAUCUCAGGAUUGUAUGAGGUGCCAUUUACUUUGAACUUUGAACUGAGCAGUAGCAUGCUUUUGCAUAUGCUUGGGACAGAGUUCCAAGAUGUCAUCAGUUCAUUCACGAGAACAUACAAAGACAGCACUGGUAUAUUUUUCUAGUGCCUUGAGAUGUCUGCUACUGUAGUUCAGGUGUUAUAUGUACCCGGGAUGAACUGACACUCAACACCUGCAAGACAAAGACUCCCUAUAAAUUGGCCACAAAUAUACAAUCCAACUCUCUGACAACAAGGUUGCACACUGCAACCUCAAAAAAUGUGGAUCACCACCUCUAUUUUUGGAAUCACCACUUGGUUAAAGCAGUCAAUGAUAACGUUCACCAUUAUUUUCAAAUGUUGGCCCCGCCUUUAGUCAAUUGAGGAAAAGGGAAUUUGAUUAUUUCCAUCUACAAUUUUCAACAAAACUUAUGGUCCAUAAAGUGCUUCUGAGUCCUACAUUAUGUACAGCAGGCACCUCACAAGAUGCUUAAAGGUAACACAAAUGUGGUCUCCACAAAAUCUUCUAAGUUUACUGGACAGAUAAGCAAACAAUAUUGGUAUCCUUUCCUCUGCCAGCAUCCCGAGCAAUAAGGAUCUUACUACACACAGUCAGUUACAUUAUGUGGACCACAUUAUUCACAUGACAGGCACAAGCUUCCUGAAACUGACACACCAUUCCAAGUUCUGUCACAGGAAGAUGAUUGCCAAAUGAAUCUCCCGGGAAAAGAUUCAAGGAUAUGAUCAGAGCCCUCUUGCUGAUUCCUGGAAAUCUUUGGACUCUAACUACUUAAAGUGGGGAAGUAAUAUGAGGGUACAUAGAGGUCAUCCAAUCAGACCACACAGAAGUUCUGUGUAAGCAAUGAAUGGAAGGCACCAAUUCUCAAACUAUCACAUGCCCACCUCAGUAAUCACCUCCUGUGGAAGAAUCUGAGGACCCCCAACAUUUGCUUUAUCAGUCACUUCAAAACACACUAAACCCAGAGCAGAAGGAAGUCAUCCUUGAGCCUGAGAGACUGCCUAGGAUGGGGGUCGGCAACCCGCGGCUCUGGAGCCACAUGUGGCUCUUUUACGUCUGUGCUGCGGCUCCCUGUUGCUUUGGGAAAUAAUUGGUUGUGGCGACCCUUUUCCUGGCACAUCCGAACCGACUCACAAUAAGAUAGCCUACGGGGGUUUGCGAGCACAGAGCUUUGGAGCCUCUGCGCCAUGGGGGGGGGGGGGCAGGUUGAGGGAGGCUUAAAAGUGAGGCUGAAGAUUUCGAAUAAAGUUUUUUUCCUUCGACUGCAGUUACCGACUCCGUGUCGUAAUUUUAGCACUGCGUGUAGCACACCGCUACAUGGUCAGUAUUUAAUUAAUAUGUAUUUUAUGUUAGUUUGUUAGUUUUUGAAAUGUAAAUCUAAAUUUGAAGAUUAUGGUGAUCUUGUACAAUCUAAAUAAGACGUUGUGGCGACCCAUUUCCUGACACAUCCGAACCGGCUCACAAUUAGCCAGUGUUCAGGCUAAGGGAGAUAGCCUACGGGGGUUUGUGAGUACGUGUCUUUUGCAGCAUCCGCGCCCAUGGGGGGCGGGUUGAGGGAGGCUUAAAAGCAAGGCUGUUUAGUUCGAAUAAAGCUAUCUUUGACUGCAGUUUACUGACUGCGUGUAGCAACCGCUACAACGUGUUUUUAUCGCUGGCUGUCCAGAGGGGAGGUGCUGAAACGCUUUGUCGCGCGUCUGGAAGAAGUGAAAACUUUCCUGGGCAGCAAAGGGCUCAACUUUCCUGAACAGCCAGAGUGGCUGGAAAAGCUACACUUCAUGGUAGACAUGACAGCGCACCUGAACACGCUGAACACAGCUCUUCAACGGGGUAAGGACGUACAGCCCUGCACAUGUUGGAGGAUGUUUUGCAUUCGAGCGCAAGUUGACGUUGCUUGCCAGAGAUUUACAGAAAGGCACAUUGUCUCACUUCCCCAAUUUGAGAGAGUUCAAACAAUGUCACGACAUGAUAAAUUCGGAGUAUUUACAUUCUGCAAUCAUCGCAAUGCAAACAUCGUUUGGGAAACGCUUCUGUGAGUUCAGAGAGGUAAAAAACACAUUAUCCUUCCCGGUCACUCCCCUAAGCAUCGAUCCAUCCCUACUGAAUACGACUGCAUUGUCAGGUGUGAGUCAACCUGAAGAAGUAUGAUAAAUAUUUUAAUUGCGUAUUAUUUUACGUAUAUUCAUA